rnacentral:rRNA from 1 species
AACGAACGCUGGCGGCAUGCCUAACACAUGCGAGUCGAACGAGACCUUCGGGUCUAGUGGCGCACGGGUGCGUAACGCGUGGGAACCUGCCUUUAGGUUCGGAAUAACUCAGAGAAAUUUGAGCUAAUACCGGAUAAUGUCUUCGGACCAAAGAUUUAUCGCCUUUAGAUGGGCCCGCGUUGGAUUAGCUAGUUGGUGGGGUAAAGGCCUACCAAGGCGACGAUCCAUAGCUGGUCUGAGAGGAUGAUCAGCCACACUGGGACUGAGACACGGCCCAGACUCCUACGGGAGGCAGCAGUGGGGAAUAUUGGACAAUGGGCGAAAGCCUGAUCCAGCAAUGCCGCGUGAGUGAUGAAGGCCUUAGGGUUGUAAAGCUCUUUUACCCGAGAUGAUAAUGACAGUAUCGGGAGAAUAAGCUUCGGCUAACUCCGUGCCAGCCGCUGCAGUAA